rnacentral:rRNA from 1 species
CAGAGGGUGCGAGCGUUAAUCGGAAUUACUGGGCGUAAAGCGUGCGUAGACGGUUAUUUAAGUCGGGUGUGAAAGCCCCGGGCUCAACCUGGGAAUUGCAUUCGAGACUGAAUAGCUAGGGUACGGUAGAGGGAAGUGGAAUUUCCGGUGUAGCGGUGAAAUGCGUAGAUAUCGGAAGGAACAUCAGUGGCGAAAGCAACUUCCUGGACCAGUACCGACGUUCAGGCACGAAAGCGUGGGGAGCAAACAGGAUUAGAUACCCUGGUAGUCCACGCCAUAAACGAUGAGGACUAGACGUUGGAGGGGUAAGCCUUUCAGUGUCGUAGCUAACGCGCUAAGUCCUCCGCCUGGGGAGUACGGCCGCAAGGUUG